CAAAGUCGCGGGCAAAAGCUAGAUUCGAUAAAUUUUCAUUUGUACAUGUCAAAUAUUUGUUGUUUCUAAAUUCAAAUUCUGUAAAUAAUGAUUGACAUUUAUGCAUAAACUAUGAAAAGGGUGAAUAAACAAUUGUCUGUAUUUUUUUAAUCUAUUGAAAAUGUUGAAAAGUGCAUUAAGCAUUAAUAGAAAUUCCUCAAAUAUUAAUUAUGCGUGCGUUCAGAAAUAAUGACAAAUUAUCAACAGUUACGCGUGUGUUCAGAAAUUUAUUUUGUGUAAAUUAAAGUUUCUAUUCACGUUUUCGAACAAACGAUGCUCUUUCAAUAUAGUCUAUUGGUGUGAAUGACAUUGACAUUCGUAUUGCGCGUUUUUUAAAAUAUGCAAAAUUAAAUGUAUAUUUUUCAAUAUUUCUGAGAGAUUAUCUUAAUAUUUCUUCGAGUUUUAAAGACUAAGAAGAUUUUUAUUUGCUAAUAAGUGUUUGUUAAUCAAGUUGGAAUUUCGUUUUUAACAAUGCUACCAACCAGACGUACAAGCUUAGGCCGCAGAACUCGAAAUACGGCAAGUCAAAGAAAUACAAGAGCAAAUCAAACUGAUGAGCAACGCGAAGCGCGAAAUGAACUUGAACUGAAUCGAUAUCAAGAUAUAAAUGUUGUGUUUAAUCCCCACAAAGCUGCAUUCAGUUAUAAUGUGGCAAUUGAUUACAGUUCAGAGCAAAUUGUUGCUAUUGGACUAAUGAACAUUGUGUGUCCACAUUGGGAUUAAAAUUAAAAAAUGAAGCCUCUGGAUUAUGUUGCGCCAGCGGCCAAGUCAAAUUGACGCCAUUGGUACCGCCACCAGAGCCACUACAUUCAUUGGUUCAUUUUUUGACUCAUAUCCAGCAGUACAAUAAUUGCUUUCAAAUGACAUCAUUUGGGGCAACAAAAGUUAUACGAGACAAUUUUUUGCCUACUUUUAGCAAAUUCAGGGAUUCAAAUAUAUCAUCAAACAGGUUCCUUAUUGCCAGUGCCUGUUGAAGACUAUACAUUUUUGCAAAUAUAUUUUAUGGACAAUUCAGCAAGAGAAGUCGAUCAGCGUUGCGCGCACCACAACUCAGUAAAGAGAUCCAUUGUGAUGAACAACUUCAAACAUUUUUCCUUCAACACAAUGAAUUAGUUGCAUUAGACCGAUGCAUUAGACAUUCACAAAUGCAUUAGACCGCAUGCCAUCAGAUAAUCACAAAAUUGGCAUCAGAGCCGAUAAGGCGCCUGCAGGACAGUGAAAUGAUUGAAUCCUAUGAAAUAAACACUAUUAUGAAAAUAUAUUUUGUU